UAGAUUUAUAAUAUAAUUAUAUUUUUAAAUAAAUAUUAAUUUGAUACAAUAAUUUAAAUUAUUUUAUUACCAUAUUUUAGAUUAAUAAUUCAAAUUAUUAUUUUAUUAGUUAUCAUAAUUAUAAAUUAUUUUUUUAUCAAUUAAAUAAUUAAUUAUAUUAUUUAUAUAAAUUAUUUGAUUUUUAUUUAACAAAUAAAUAUUUUAAAAAUAAAAAAAAGAAAAAAAUGUGGGCGGGAGUACUCCCGCCGUGUAUAUCGCUCCCUUUCUUUUUCUCUCCCUCUCCCCUUCUUCCCCAAAUCAUCAAAUCCCUAACUCCCCUCACUCUCUCUCUCUCUCUCUCUUUCUCUCUCUCUGUGAAGUACUCCUGCUAUCGAUCGAUUCGCCGCGCCUCCUGUCGUAGCCGCUGCCGCUGUCGUUGCCGCUAUCGCUGCCGCUGCCUCCAUCUCCGGUUGCCGCCGCCUCCGUCUUCGCCGCCUCAAAGAAGGUCAAUGAGACAACAAGACUCUAAAGGAAACAACUGCUAUCUUGGAGUAUAUGAACAAUUUUAUGACUAUAUAUAGUGUUUUGUUGUAUAUUUUUGAAUAGUAUAUAUGAUUGUUAAAGUGUUACUUUUAAUUAAAUAUCUUUUUUGAUGUA